AGAAUAUCAAGGGUUUAGACCAGAACAUUAGGGGGUUUAAAGCAGAAUACCAGGGGUUUAGAGCAGAAUACCAGGGGUUUAGAGCAGAAUAUCAGGGGGUUAGAGCAGAAUAUCAGGGGUUUAAAGCAGAAUAUCAGGGGGUUAGAGAAGAAUAUCAGGAGUUUAGAGCAGAAUAUUAGGGGUUUAGAGCAGCAUUUCAGGGGUUUAGAGCAGAAUAUCAGGGGUUUAGAGCAGAAUAUCAGGGGUUUAGGCAGAAUAUCAGGGGUUUAGAGCAGAAUAUCAGGGGGUUAGAGCAGAAUAUCAGGGGGUUAGAGAAGAAUAUCAGGAGUUUAGAGCAGAAUAUUAGUUGUUUAGAGCAGCAUUUCAGAGGUUUAGAGCAGAAUAUCAGGGGUUUAGAGCAGAAUAUCAGGGGUUUAGGCAGAAUAUCAGAGGUUUAGAGCAGAAUAUCAGGGGGUUAGAGCAGAAUAUCAGGGGGUUAGAGUAGAAUACCAGGGGUUUAGAGCAGAAUGCUAUGGGUUUAAAGAAGAAUACCAGGAGUUUUUAGCAGAGUAACAGGGGUUUAGAGCAGGAUAUCAGGGGUUUAGAGCAGAAUAUCAGGAAUUUAAGAGCAGAAUAUCAGGGGAUUUAAGUGGCAUGUCAGGGGUUUUAAGCAGAAUAUCAGGGGUUUUGAGUAAAAUACAAGGGGUUUAAAGCAGAAUAUCAGGAUUUCGAGCAGAAAAUACAAGGUUUAGAGCAGAUUAAGAAAACUUUGAAAAAUGUGUACAUUAUAUGGAACUAACUUGACACCGUGCAAGAUCUGAGGAUCCUUAUAAACUAAUGUGUGUUCAGGGUGUUCAGCGACAAGAUGUUAAUCUGUAUGGAACCAGGAAUUCUCUACAAACAAUCGAUCAAUCACACGGAACUCUACGUCUACAAUCCUACAUUUAAUCAUGUGUUUAAAUCUAUAUAAUUAAUUGAGAUUUUUAAAGUAUAACUAUUUAAAGGCCAAUUUUUUAUGAAAAUUAACCUGAUUUUGUUUUAAUAAUGCAGAACCUGAGUUUUAUCAAGCCUAUAUAUAAUAUUUAACCAAAGCCUAUAUAAAGUAUCUAGUCUAAGCCUAUAUAAAAUGUCCAGCCUAAGACUCAAAAUUUUGUAAAUAAAUGAGUUUAUCUUUCAGAACACGAUGGGUUAGUUGAAUUUGCUAACCGGCAUUCGUGUUUCUUUCUCCAGGUCUAUAAAGCAUCCGUAAUCAAUGUUUAAGGCUAUUUACGCAAUGUUGCCAAAUCUUAUUCCUACGGAUGGUUUAUAGAAUAUAUGUAGAUAAUUGUGAUUCCUCUAAAUAGUUCCGGAUUUGUCUCCAUGUAUUGAACCAGGUGAAAAAAUUGCAAAUAUCUAAAAUGAGCUUCAAAAUAUCCUGACUUCUCACGAAUUUCUCAACGCAUUUCUCAUGCUAGGCUGGCACGAGUCCCGUUGAUAUGUAACCUCGUCUUGCUCCGCUGACUCGCGGACAAGUUCUACUCCUCUUCAACAUGCAGAUGAUCUCCCCUGUGUGUUUGACUCCUGAGAUGAAUAAGUUCUCUCCUAGUCCCACCUAUAACUAAUCUUGACGUCCUGAGUCUAAGGAAGUCCACAUAAAGGUGAGGAUCAAAGCUCACAACCUUUGAGCUCUGGAACUCGGUCUAAUUAUCUUUAUUUAGACCUCCGUUGUCAAGACUCCGACAUCACCGGAAGCUGAGUUAUCCUGUUUCUCUGGACACUCGGCUGAUACUCCCGAACAUCCUGAUGGUACUCACUUACCUACCUCUACGUACCAGGCCUCUAAAACUUCGGCUUAGUUGUAGCUUCUUCUCCGGCAUCUCCGACGAGAAGGACUGUCUCCUCCGACGAGCAUAUUCGUCGUUCUACAUCCUCUCCGGCACCUCCGAUGAGAAGGAUCUACCCUGUAUCCCUGAUCUAAGCGCCUCCUUUAGAUCAAAUACAGUUACCUUAUUCACGACUGCGGUGCAAUUUAAUGAACUAUAGGCUACAAACCUCUGGACAAAUCAACAUUUUCUCGGUUGAGUCCUGUAUAAACUGCCUACCUGAAAUAUAUACAUAAGAUUUAAUCAGUGCAAAUUGAGGUGAGCCAAAGAGAAAGAGACCAUGCUCGCUCUUAUGUUUGUAGUUAAUUACCUGGUUCCUAAAGGUAAAAUUUGAGCACACACUGAACGAGAAACAUUGAGUUAUAAAUAAAAAAUGUAAAUUAAUUUUAAAGCACUAAAAAUUAAA
rnacentral:lncRNA from 1 species